rnacentral:ncRNA from 1 species
CUCCGAUAAGAGCAAAACUGGGGCGAUCCAGUGACGCAAAGCGGCAGGUCCAUCAAAGCUUAAAAGGCAGGGGUGGAUGGCUGAGCUACCGAA